AAAUUAAUUAAUUAUUAUAAUUUUAUUAUUUAUUAAGUUUUUAAGUAAAGUAAUUUGUAGUUUUAUUAUAUUAUGAAAAAAUUUAUUUUAUUAUAGUUUAUUUUGUAUUGUGAAAGAAAUUCUUAUUUUUUAAUAAGAAUAAUUAAUUUUUAGUACCUUGUGUAUCAGGGUUUAUUAAUUAAAAUUUAUUUGUUUAAAUUUCUCGAAUUUAAAAGAGCUAUAUAGUUAUAGUUGUUAUUGUUGAAUAAAUAUUAUUAAUAUCUAUAUAGAAGUGAAAUGCUAUUCGAUUUUAAGUAUAUCUAGUUUUUAAAGAAAAAAAUUUAAUUUUGUUUUUGUUUAAUAUUACAUUUAAUUUGUUAAAUUAAUAUUAGUAAAAUCUUAUAUUUAAGGGGAUGAGCUUUUAAGUAUAUCUAUAUAAAUAAAUUAAAAUUAUGAUUAUUAAGUAUAAUUAUAAGUUUUAAUCUUUAGUAGUGUUUUAUAACAAAUUAAUUUUUAUUGUUAUUUUUAUUUGUUUUAUAUGGUUUAUUUAAAUAUGAAUAAGAAUGGUUUAUAUUUAGUAAUAAUGAUAUAAUUAGUAUAAUUUUUUAUGUAUAUAGAAUAUAUUUAUAUAAGGUUUUUUAAAGGAAUUCGGCAAAUAUAUUUUUCACCUGUUUAUUAAAAACAUGUCCUUUUGAUUAUAAUUUAAGGUCUAGCCUGCCCAAUGAAUUAUUAAAUGGCCGCAGUAUCUUGACUGUGCAAAGGUAGCAUAAUCAAUAGUUUUUUAAUUGAAAGCUGGAAUGAAGGGUUUUAUGAGAAAAUAGCUGUCUCUAAGAAAAUUUAGUAGAAUUUUAUUUUUAAGUAAAAAAGCUUAAAUUUAAAUAGAAGACGAGAAGACCCUAUAGAGUUUUAUAUUUAGAUAUUGUUAAGAUUUUAGUAUUUUGGUUUUUAUAGAUAUUAUAAUAUUUAAUUGGGGUGAUUGGAAAAUUAAAUAAACUUUUCUUUAUAAGUACACUAAUUUGUGAUAGAAUGAUCCUUUAUUUAAGAUUAAAAGAUACAAUUACCUUAGGGAUAACAGCGUAAUUUUUUUUGAGAGUUCUUAUCGAAAGAAAAGAUUGCGACCUCGAUGUUGGAUUAAAGUUUAGUUAUGGUGUAGAAGCUAUAAUAUUAGGUCUGUUCGACCUUUAAAAUUUUACAUGAUCUGAGUUUAAACCGGUGUGAGCC
rnacentral:rRNA from 1 species